rnacentral:rRNA from 1 species
GACGAACGCUGGCGGCGUGCCUAAUACAUGCAAGUCGAGCGGACUUACCAAGCUUGCUUUUUAAGUUAGCGGCGGACGGGUGAGUAACACGUGGGCAACCUGCCUGUAAGACUUGGAUAACUUCGGGAAACCGGAGCUAAUACCGGAUAAUCCUUUUCUACUCAUGUAGAAAAGCUGAAAUACGGUUUACGCUGUCACUUACAGAUGGGCCCGCGGCGCAUUAGCUAGUUGGUGAGGUAACGGCUCACCAAGGCGACGAUGCGUAGCCGACCUGAGCGGGUGAUCGGCCACACUGGGACUGGACCACGGCCCAGACUCCUACGGGAGGCACCAGUAGGGAAUCUUACGCAGUAGACGGAAGUCUGACGGAGCAACGCCACGUGUGUGAUGAAGGUUUUCGGUUCGUAAAACUCUGUUGUUAGGGAAGAACAACUUCGAGCGUAACUGCUCGUAACUUGACGGUACCUGGCCAAAAAGCAACGGCUAACUACGUG